rnacentral:lncRNA from 1 species
GUAACCCGCUGCUGAGCUGGCAGCUCUGUGUCGCUAGGCUUCGGCCCGGCCGCCGCCGCACAUAAGCUGCGAGGAGGAGCUUUACGACUUCCCGGUCUUCGGGGCCGGGCGCAGCAAGGGCCAGACUCUGCGCUAGCAGGCGCUGCGCGCCAACCGGCCGGCACCUGUCGCAGAAGGUGCAACCGAUCGCACUGUCGCGCCGAAGCUCCUCAAUGGCCAGCGCCAGCUGCAGCCCCGGCCGCCCACUCGCCUCACCUGAGCCUGGGAGCUUGAAAAAUCACAUUUGAGAAGAGGAUUGGAUCCUAGCCAUAACAUAAAUAUAAGGGUAAUUACAUCCAUGCUGAGAAAGAUUUAGGAAUGAUAGUGGAACCAAAGUUUUAAUCAAAGAAGGUGGUGUUCAGUUGCUGCUUACAAUAGUUGAUACCCCAGGAUUUGGAGAUGCAGUGGAUAACAGUAAUUGCUGGCAGCCUGUUAUCAAUUACAUUGAUAUUAAAUUUGAGGACUACCUAAAUGCAGAAUCGCGAGUGAACAGAUGUCAGAUGCCUGGUAACAGGGUGCAGUGUUGUUUAUACUUCAUUGCUCCUUCAGGACAUGGACCAUUACAUAACUGAAGACUCCCACCUUCAGGCAGGAUUGGGUAGUACGUGUUUGUAACUACCUGGCAUUGCCUUUUGUUGAGGAAGGGUAGAUGUCUACCCAAAUGGAAUAUUGAGUAUCAGAGACUUCAAAUGAUAACUUUUGUUUGUUUGGAGAAAAUCUUGAGGACGUGAUCACUGUACAAAAGCAUGGCAAAAUGAGGAAACCACUGACAGGUGAAGAAUUUGCACAAUGGAAAACCACCUUGACCAUCUCAUGACUUUAUACAGGAAUCGGAGACAUCCAAGGCCAUUCCAUUUCUAAAUCACACUUAUCCCUCAAUCAAGUCAGUGACUGGAUCAUCUCCUAAGGUUUCACCUGCUUUGCAUCAGGGCAGGGUUCCACUCCCAUUGCCCAGGCUGGAGUGCAGUGGCGUGAUCUUGGCUCACUGCAACCCCCUCCUCCCCUAUUCAAGCAAUUCUUCUGCCUCAGUCUUCUAAGUGGCUGGGACUACAAGCGCGUGCCACCACACCCGCGCUUAUAAUAGAAAAUAAUUUUUCUGUUUUUUUGUAGGGAUGGGGUUUCACCAUGUUGGCCAGGCUGGCCUCGAACUCCUGAGCUCAAGUGAUCAACCUGCCUCUGCCUCCCAAAGUGCUGGGAUUACAGGUGUAAGCCACCAUGCCCGGCCUCUGAUUUUUCUAUAGUGAGAACAUAACUAUUUCUGUAAUAAUAUUAAAAAUACUUGUCAGUAUCACAUAGAAUUUUCAACAGCAGAUUCAAAUAAAAUGAAUCCUUGUG